UCUCCAGUGGUUUAGGGGUUAGAAUACCUGCUUUUCAUUAGCUUUGAUGAAGUGCGCAGUAGACCCGGGUUCGAUUCCCGGCUGGGGAA